rnacentral:rRNA from 1 species
AAUACGUUCCCGGACCUUGCACACACCGCCCGUCAAGCCUAUGGGAGCCGGGUGUACCUAAAGUCGGUAACCGCAAGGAGCUGCCUAGGGUAAAAUCGGUGACUGGGGGCU